AUGGAGAAGCACACGAUCCAGAUCGCUGUGCUGGCCCUGUUAUCUGUACACCUCCUAUGCUCCGCAACCAUAGCACAAUGCCGAACCAUUGCGGCUGGCAUGGACAACGACGAUAUCCAUGAAGAGGACAUCGUAUGUUGCCACAAAAAGUGCUCCUUCUUUCAUUGUUGUGCCUGUUGUACUUAUACUGACUGGUGCUACACAAGUUUCGAGAGGUGCAAUAGAAACUGCCUGGUUCCCUUAUCGCAUUCUGAUGAAGUGCUAGCCGCGACGCCGGUGACCCCCGAAACUGUGGCAACUAGGUCUGCAGUACGCACGGACGGCUUCAUGAGAGGCGUCAUCCCAGAAGAGUUCGGCAAUUGUCAUGUGUAG
rnacentral:rRNA from 1 species